rnacentral:rRNA from 1 species
UUCCGGUUGAUCCUGCCGGAGGCUACCGCUAUUGGAGUUCGAUUAAGCCAUGCGAGUCGCGAGUCUUAGGGACUCGGCGUACCGCUCAGUAACACGUGGGUAACCUGCCCUAUGCUGGGGGAUAACCUCGGGAAACUGAGAAUAAUACCCCAUAGUUCACCACGCCUGGAACGGUGGGUGGACCAAAGCUCCGGCGGCAUAGGAUGGGCCUGCGGCGUAUCAGGUUGUAGGGGGUGUAAUGUACCCUCUAGCCCUCUACGCGUACGGGUGUUGAGAGACAUCGCCCGGAGAUGGAUUCUGAGACACGAAUCCAGACCCUACGGGGUGCAGCAGGCGCGAAAACUUGGCAAUGCGAGAAAUCGUGACCAGGGAACUCCAAGUGCAUCGGGUAAGACCGAUGCUUUUCUUGACUCUUCAAAGGUCUUGGAAUAAGGGGUGGGUAAGGACGGUGCCAGCCGCCGCGGUAAUACCGGCGCCCCAAGUGGUAGUCGCUUUUAUUGGGCCUAAAACGUCCGUAGCCGGUCUGGUACAUUCGUGGGUAAAUCAACCAGCUCAACUGGUUGAAUUCUGCGAGCACGGCCAGACUUGGGACCGGGAGAGGUGUGGGGUACUCUCAGGGUAGGGGUAAAAUCCUGUCAUCCUGAGGGGACCACCUGUUGCGAAGGCGCCACACUAGAACGGAUCCGACGGUCAGGGACGAAGCCUAGGGGCACGAACCGGAUUAGAUACCCGGGUAGUCCUAGGUGUAAACGCUGUGGACUUGAUGUUGGGGGCGCUCCGAGCGCACUCAGUGUCGAAGCGAAGGUGAUAAGUCCACUGCCUGGGGAGUACGGUCGCAAGGCUGAAACUUAAAGGAAUUGGCGGGGGAGCACCGCAACCUGAGGAUUGUGCGGUUUAAUUGGAUUCAACGCCGGA